rnacentral:rRNA from 1 species
CCUACGGGUGGCAGCAGUGAGGAAUAUUGGUCAAUGGACGGAAGUCUGAACCAGCCAUGCCGCGUGAGUGAAGAAGCGCCUCGGCGCGUAAAGCUCUGUCAGCAGGAACGAUAAUGACGGUACCUGAAGAAGAAGCCCCGGCUAACUACGUGCCAGCAGCCGCGGUAAUACGUAGGGGGCAAGCGUUAUCCGGAUUUACUGGGUGUAAAGGGAGCGUAGACGGCGGGGCAAGUCUGGAGUGAAAGGCCGGGGCCCAACCCCGGGACCGCUCUGGAAACUGCCCGGCUGGAGUGCGGGAGAGGUAAGCGGAAUUCCUAGUGUAGCGGUGAAAUGCGUAGAUAUUAGGAGGAACACCAGCGGCGAAGGCGGCUUACUGGACCGUGACUGACGUUGAGGCUCGAAAGCGUGGGGAGCAAACAGGAUUAGAUACCCUGGUAGUC